CAGAUCACUAUGGACUGGAUGAGGUGUGUGUGGGAGGCUGCACUGCUGUGAAAUUAGCAUCAAAGACUCAUCACAUCCAGUAAUAAAUAAAGAUCAUCUGGAAACCUGAUAUCCUGAUCUGAAGCACUGAAAAAUCCCCAGCCCUAAAGCCCAUUCUGGCUUAUCCAGAUUUGAAUACCUGACAAAAGUACAUUCCUCUGUGAAUUAUGAAGCAUUUUUCAGACCUACAUGGCAAGAGCACUGACAGACGUUUCUCCUCAACUGCUUUCAUCUUAUAUUGUAGAUUCAUGUGAUACUAAACACCAUCCCUGAAGGA